rnacentral:misc_RNA from 1 species
GAUGAAGAACGUAGUGAAAUGCGAUAAGUAAUGUGAAUUGCAGAAUUCAGUGAAUCAUCGAGUCUUUGAACGCACAUUGCGCCCCCUGGUAUUCCGGGGGGCAUGCCUGUCCGAGCGUCAUUGCUGCCCUCAAGCACGGCUUGUGUGUUGGGCCCCCGCCCCCCGGCUUCGGGGGGCGGGCCCGAAAGGCAGCGGCGGCACCGCGUCCGGUCCUCGAGCGUAUGGGGCUUCGUCACCCGCUCUGUAGGCCCGGCCGGCGCCCGCCGGCGACCCCAAUCAAUCUUUCCAGGUUGACCUCGGAUCAGGUAGGGAUACCCGCUGAACUUAAGCAUAUCAAUAAGCGGAGGA